rfam:Oryctolagus cuniculus chromosome 1, whole genome shotgun sequence.
CUGUGUCUUGCUUCAACAACGUUUGAACGGAACAC